rnacentral:rRNA from 1 species
GUCUACAGCCAUACCACCCUGAACGUGCCCAAUCUUGUCUGAUCUCAGAGGCUAAGCAGGGUUGGGCCUGGUUGGUACUUGAAUGGGAGAAAUGGAAAUUUAUAGCAC